UGGGGAAUAUUGCACAAUGGGCGAAAGCCUGAUGCAGCGACGCCGCGUGAGGGAUGACGGCCUUCGGGUUGUAAACCUCUUUCAGCAGGGACGAAGCGCAAGUGACGGUACCUGCAGAAGAAGCACCGGCUAACUACGUGCCAGCAGCCGCGGUAAUACGUAGGGUGCAAGCGUUGUCCGGAAUUACUGGGCGUAAAGAGUUCGUAGGCGGUUUGUCGCGUCGUUUGUGAAAACCAGCAGCUCAACUGCUGGCUUGCAGGCGAUACGGGCAGACUUGAGUACUGCAGGGGAGACUGGAAUUCCUGGUGUGGCGGUGAAAUGCGCAGAUAUCAGGAGGAGCACCGGUGGCGAAGGCGAGUCUCUGGGCAGUAACUGGCGCUGAGGAACGAAAGCGUAGGUAGCGAACAGG
rnacentral:rRNA from 1 species